rnacentral:rRNA from 1 species
UACAGAGGUGGCAAGCGUUGUUCGGAAUUCCUGGGCGUAAAGGGCGCGUAGGCGGCUUGGUCAGUCCCGUGUGAAAUCCCUCGGCUCAACUGAGGAACUGCACGGGAAACUGCCUGGCUUGAGUUCGGGAGAGGGAAGCGGAAUUCCGGGUGUAGCGGUGAAAUGCGUAGAUAUCCGGAGGAACACCGGUGGCGAAGGCGGCUUCCUGGACCGACACUGACGCUGAGGCGCGAAAGCUAGGGGAGCAAACGGG